ACGUUGUUCGGAAUUACUGGGCGUAAAGCGCGUGUAGGUGGCGAGGCAAGUCGGGUGUGAAAGCCCUGGGCUCAACCCAGGAAGUGCAUUCGAUACUGCCUAGCUAGAGUCCCGGAGAGGUUGGUGGAACUCUCGGUGUAGAGGUGAAAUUCGUAGAUAUCGAGAAGAACACCGGUGGCGAAGGCGGCCAACUGGACGGUGACUGACACUGAGACGCGAAAGCGUG
rnacentral:rRNA from 1 species